rnacentral:rRNA from 1 species
AAAAAAUACGGGGAUGUAUAAGAAUAUUUGUUUUUUAAUUUUAAAAUUAAAAUAAGGAAUGUAUAUUAAAUAUAAAUAGAUUUUUUAUAGAAAUUAUAUUUUUUUAGAAAAAAGUUUUAUAUAUAUUUAUUAAAAUAUGAGAUUUAUUUUAAAAAAUUGAUUAAUUUUGUGCCAGCAGUUGCGGUUAAACAAAAAAUUUUAUUAAUAUGUUAUAAUAUUUAAUUAUAUAUUUAUUUAUAUUUAUUAUAUAAAUAAUGUUGAAAUAUAUUUAUAUAUAUAUAUAUAUAUUUAAUUAAAAAUAGUUUUAAUUAUUAAACUAGGAUUAGAUACCCUAUUAUAUAUAAAAAUUAUAUUGUUAGUAGUUAUUAAUGAAAUCUAAUUAUUAUGGCGGCAUAUAAACAUUUUAGAGGAAUUUGUAUAUUAAAGGAUAAUACACCAAUAUCUUACUUUAAUUUAUAGUUUAUAUAUCGCUAUUUAUUUUUUAUUUAGAUAUAAAAAAGUAUAUCAUAUAAUGAUAAAAUUUAAGUCAAGAUAUAGCUUAUAUUAGAGUUUAAUAUGAAUUAUAUUAAUUUGUAUUUAACAAUAUUUUUUUUGAAAUUAAAAAGUAUAGAAAGAUUUAAUAGUAAUAUUAAAUAAUUAAUUAUUAUGAAUAAUGCUCUUAUAUGUGUACAAAUUGCCCGUCACUUUCAAAGUUUUUGAAAUAAGUCGUAACAAAGUAAAUGUACCGGAAGGUGUAUUUAUAGAAUA